ensembl:lncRNA
GGGUUUGAAUAGUGCCCAGGAUAGAUCACUAGAUUACUCAAACAUGCAGAAAUGUUCAUCUUUAUGUUAAUAUUGCAUUCAGACUAAACAGUUUAUUACCUUUGGUCGUGGUGGUGGUGGGAGUCGUGGUGGUGGUGGUGGUGGGAGUGGUGGUUUUGGUGGGAGGUGUGGUGGUGGUGGGAGUCGUGGUGGUGGUGGUGGUGGUGGUUUUGGUGGGAGGUGUGGUGGUGGUGGGAGUGGUGGUGGUGGUGGUGGGAGUCGUGGUAGUGGUGGUGGGAGUCGUGGUGGUGGUGGGAGUGGUGGAGGGAGUGGUGGUUUUGGUGGGAGGUGUGGUGGUGGUGGGAGUGGUGGUGGGAGUGGUGGUUUUGGUGGGAGGUGUGGUGGUGGUGGUGGUGGUGGGAGUGAUGGUGGUGGUGGGAGUGGUGGUCGUGGUGGUGGGAGUCGUGGUGGUGGUGGUGGGAGUGGUGGUAGUGGUGGUGGUGAUGGGAGUGGUGGUGGUGGUGGUGGUGGUGGUGGUGGGAGUGGUGGUGGGCGUCGUGGUGGUGGUGGUGGUGGUGGUGGUGGUA